rnacentral:rRNA from 1 species
CCUGAUCCAGCCAUGCCGCGUGAAGGAAUAAGGUCCUUAGGGUCGUAAACUUCUUUUGACGCAGAGCAAUAAGGAACACGUGUGUUCCGAUGAGAGUAUGCGUCGAAUAAGCAUCGGCUAACUCCGUGCCAGCAGCCGCGGUAAUACGGAGGAUGCGAGCGUUAUCCGGAUUUAUUGGGUUUAAAGGGUGCGUAGGCUGUUGGAUAAGUCAGCGGUGAAAUCACCACGCUUAACGUGUUGUGUGCCGUUGAAACUGUCCAGCUUGAAUGCGCUCGUCGUGAGAGGAAUGUGUGGUGUAGCGGUGAAAUGCAUAGAUAUCACACAGAACACCGAUUGCGAAGGCAUCUCACGAGAGCGUUAUUGACGCUGAUGCACGAAAGCGCGGGUAUCGAACAGGAUUAGAUACCCUGGUAGUCCGCGCUGUAAACGAUGAUGACUAACCGUUGGUCUGGUAUGGAUCAGUGGUCAAGCGAAAGCGUUAAGUCAUCCACCUGGGGAGUACGGCCGCAAGGCUGAAACUCAAAGGAAUUGACGGGGGCCCGCACAAGCGGAGGAACAUGUGGUUUAAUUCGAUGAUACGCGAGGAACCUUACCCGGGCUCGAACGGCGGAUGA